rnacentral:rRNA from 1 species
GAUGAACGCUGGCGGCGUGCCUAACACAUGCAAGUCGAGCGAACGGACGAGAAGCUUUUUUCUCUGAUGUUAGCGACGGACGGGUGAGUAACACGUGGAUAACCUACUUAUAAGACUGGGAUAAUUUCGGGAAACCGGAGCUAAUACCGGAUGAUAUUUUGAACCGCAUGGUUCAAAAGUGAAAGACGGUCUUGCUGUCACUUAUAGAUGGAUCCGCGCUGCAUUAGCUAGUUGGUAAGGUAACGGCUUACCAAGGCAACGAUGCAUAGCCGACCUGAGAGGGUGAUCGGCCACACUGGAACUGAGACACGGUCCAGACUCCUACGGGAGGCAGCAGUAGGGAAUCUUCCGCAAUGGGCGAAAGCCUGACGGAGCAACGCCGCGUGAGUGAUGAAGGUCUUCGGAUCGUAAAGCUCUGUUAUUAGGGAAGAACAUAUGUGUAAGUAACUGUGCACAUCUUGACGGUACCUAAUCAGAAAGCCCCGGCUAACUACGUG